GACGAACGCUGCGGCGUGCCUAAUACAUGCAAGUAGAACGCUGAAGGAGGAGCUUGCUUCUCUGGAUGAGUUGCGAACGGGUGAGUAACGCGUAGGUAACCUGCCUGGUAGCGGGGGAUAACUAUUGGAAACGAUAGCUAAUACCGCAUAAGAGUAGAUGUUGCAUGACAUUUGCUUAAAAGGUGCAAUUGCAUCACUACCAGAUGGACCUGCGUUGUAUUAGCUAGUUGGUGAGGUAACGGCUCACCAAGGCGACGAUACAUAGCCGACCUGAGAGGGUGAUCGGCCACACUGGGACUGAGACACGGCCCAGACUCCUACGGGAGGCAGCAGUAGGGAAUCUUCGGCAAUGGACGGAAGUCUGACCGAGCAACGCCGCGUGAGUGAAGAAGGUUUUCGGAUCGUAAAGCUCUGUUGUAAGAGAAGAACGAGUGUGAGAGUGGAAAGUUCACACUGUGACGGUAUCUUACCAGAAAGGACGGCUAA
rnacentral:rRNA from 1 species